UCCAAUAGCGUAUAUUAAAAUUGUUGCAGUUAAAAAGCUCGUAGUUGAAUUUCUGCUGCAUUGCUUGUGUCCCUCUGGGGUCUGUGCAUGUGGCUUUUUUCGGACGGAGUUUCUUUGUCUGAAUGUUUACUUUGAGAAAAUUAGAGUGCUCAAAGCAGGCUUUCGCCUUGAAUAGUUUAGCAUGGAAUAAUAAAGUAGGACUUUGGUUCUAUUUUGUUGGUUUUAGGUACCAAAGUAAUGGUUAAUAGGAACAGUUGGGGGCAUUCGUAUUUAACUGUCAGAGGUGAAAUUCUUAGAUUUGUUAAAGACGAACUACUGCGAAAGCAUUUGCCAAGGAUGUUUUCAUUAAUCAAGAACGAAAGUUAGGGGAUCGAAGACGAUCAGAUACCGUCGUAGUCCUAACCAUAAACUAUGCCGACUAGAGAUUGGAGGUCGUCAGUUUUUACGACACCUUC
rnacentral:rRNA from 1 species